rnacentral:rRNA from 1 species
GGAGUGAGAAUGUUGGCAUGAGUAGCGAGAUGUGGGUGAGAAUCCCACAGGCCGUAAACCCAAGGUUUCCAGGGGAAGGUUCGUCCGCCCUGGGUUAGUCGGAACCUAAGCUGAGGCCGAAAGGCGUAGGUGAUGGACAACAGGUUGAUAUUCCUGUACUACCGAUAACCAUUUGAGAGAAGGGAUGACACAGUAGGAUAAGCUAAGCACACUGUUGGUUAUGUGUGCCCAAGCAUUGAGGCAGUCAAAGUAGGCAAAUCCGCUUUGAUAAUGCUGGGAUGUGAUGGGGAGCGAAAUUUAGUAGCGAAGUAGCUGAUUUCACACUGUCAAGAAAAGUCUCUA